AUAUAUUGUCUUUCUAGCCUUAUCAGUUUUUGUUUGCUCGCUGCAUCUUUAAUUUAUGGUCGAGAUUUUUGUUGAAACAUAAUUUUAUUUGAACUUUAAAGCCAUGAAUUGUUCUUAAAGCUAUUUUAGUAAAUUUUUCACGUCGAUGCAUAUUUUUGGUUUAAGAAUGAGGUUCUUAUAGUACUUUCGACUUUUUUUAUGAAUGGCUCUUCGAAAUUGGAGCUGGUGCCUGUAAAAUGAUGUCAUGGUUGCCUGGAUGUUUCGGUCUUGGUUUUGUCCUGCCAAUGUGAGACAUAUACAGAAGCAGCAGGAAGAGAGUAGUGGUCCUGUGCAGCUUUCUAAGUUCUUGGGACGGGACAAAGAUGAUGUUGCUCGUCGAAGUGCUGUCUCUGGAAAAAAGAUAUUGUUGAAGGUUGACAAAACAAAGGAGGACAAGUUGGCGGAGAACAAUCGAAAUGAACUGUUGAAGUUUUUGAAUUCUAGUUAUGAUUAAGGUUAUCGGGACAGCAAUGCCAAUUCAUCACAAUCGGUGAUGUAAUAUUCAAGGUUAUUUUCCUGGAAUUGUCCAUUAAUUCUGUCUCAUGAGAACUAUACUUUGUUGGGUUUCGGUAAAUUUUCAGGUUUGAUAUAUGCAAGUUUAGGGUGGUGUAUUUCUGUGAUAUGAUAUCCUGGUUGAGGAAAUUCCCCUGUGGAAUCUUGGUUUGUCCAGAUAUUCAAAUAGGAACAUAGUUUUUUGGAAUAUAUGUGGUUCAAUUGAUUAUUAUGCGUUA